CCUACGGGUGGCUGCAGUGGGGAAUAUUGGACAAUGGGGGGAACCCUGAUCCAGCCAUGCCGCGUGUGUGAAGAAGGCCCUCGGGUUGUAAAGCACUUUCAGUGAGGAAGAACGCCUGGUGGUUAAUACCCAUCAGGAAAGACAUCACUCACAGAAGAAGCACCGGCUAACUCCGUGCCAGCAGCCGCGGUAAUACGGAGGGUGCGAGCGUUAAUCGGAAUUACUGGGCGUAAAGCGCGCGUAGGUGGCUUGAUAAGCCGGUUGUGAAAGCCCCGGGCUCAACCUGGGAACGGCAUCCGGAACUGUCAAGCUAGAGUGCAGGAGAGGAAGGUAGAAUUCCCGGUGUAGCGGUGAAAUGCGUAGAGAUCGGGAGGAAUACCAGUGGCGAAGGCGGCCUUCUGGACUGACACUGACACUGAGGUGCGAAAGCGUGGGUAGCAAACAGGAUUGGAUACCCUGGUAGUC
rnacentral:rRNA from 1 species